UGAUGCCUACGGGGGGCAGCAGUGAGGAAUAUUGGUCAAUGGCCGAAGGGCUGAACCAGCCAAGCCGCGUGAAGGAAUAAGGCCCUACGGGUCGUAAACUUCUUUAGUCAGGGAACAAAGGGGGCCACGCGUGGCGCUGUGAGUGUACCUGGAGAAUAAGCAUCGGCUAACUCCGUGCCAGCAGCCGCGGGAAUACGGAGGAUGCGAGCGUUAUCCGGAUUUAUUGGGGUUAAAGGGUGCGUAGGCGGUUUGUCAAGUCAGCGGUAAAAAUUCCGGGCUCAACCCGGUCCCGCCGUUGAAACCGG
rnacentral:rRNA from 1 species